GACGUAGGGCGCGAGCGUUGUCCGGAUUUAUUGGGCGUAAAGAGCUCGUAGGCGGCUCGUUGCGUCGGCUGUGAAAACCCGCAGCUCAACUGUGGGCUUGCAGCUGAUACGGGCGGGCUGGAGUUCGGUAGGGGAAACUGGAAUUCCUGGUGUAGCGGUGAAAUGCGCAGAUAUCAGGAGGAACACCGGUGGCGAAGGCGGGUCUCUGGGCCGAUACUGACGCUGAGGAGCGAAAGCGUGGGGAGCGAACAGG
rnacentral:rRNA from 1 species